UACGAAGGGUGCAAGCGUUACUCGGAAUUACUGGGCGUAAAGGGCGCGUAGGCGGCCUUGUAAGUCCUGUGUGAAAUCCCCCGGCUCAACUGGGGAACUGCACAGGAGACUGCUUGGCUUGAGUUCGGGAGAGGGAAGCGGAAUUCCGGGUGUAGCGGUGAAAUGCGUAGAUAUCCGGAGGAACACCGGUGGCGAAGGCGGCUUCCUGGACCGACACUGACGCUGAGGCGCGAAAGCCAGGGGAGCAAACGGG
rnacentral:rRNA from 1 species